GGAGGGGGCUAGCGUUGUUCGGAUUUACUGGGCGUAAAGGGCGCGUAGGCGGUAUGUCAUGUCAGGGGUGAAAGGCCUGGGCUCAACCCAGGAACUGCCUUUGAAACUGGCAAACUAGAGUCCGAUAGAGGAUGGCGGAAUUCCCAGUGUAGAGGUGAAAUUCGUAGAUAUUGGGAAGAACACCAGUGGCGAAGGCGGCCAUCUGGAUCGGCACUGACGCUGAGGCGCGAAAGCGUGGGGAGCAAACAGGAUUAGAUACCCUGGUAGUCCACGCCGUAAACGAUGUGUGCUAGACGUUGGGGGGCCUUAGGCCCUGAGUGUCGCAGCUAACGCGUUAAGCACACCGCCUGGGAGUACGGCCGCAAGGUUA
rnacentral:rRNA from 1 species